CACCGCGGUUAUACGAGUGACGCAAACUAAUAUUACACGGCGUUAAGGGUGAUUAUAAUAAAUCUUUUUAAAAAUAGAGUUAAGACAACAUCAAACUGUCAUACGUUCUCAUGUUUAAAAACACCACUCACGAAAGUAACUUUAUACAAAAAAGAGUUUUUGAUUUCACGACAGUUAAGGCC
rnacentral:rRNA from 1 species